UAGUCCACGCCGUAAACGAUGUCUACUUGGAGGUUGUGGCCUUGAGCCGUGGCUUUCGGAGCUAACGCGUUAAGUAGACCGCCUGGGGAGUACGGUCGCAAGAUUAAAACUCAAAUGAAUUGACGGGGCCCGCACAAGCGGUGGAGCAUGUGGUUUAAUUCGAUGCAACGCGAAGAACCUUACCUACUCUUGACAUCCAGAGAAUCCUUUAGAGAUAGAGGAGUGCCUUCGGGAACUCUGAGACAGGUGCUGCAUGGCUGUCGUCAGCUCGUGUUGUGAAAUGUUGGGUUAAGUCCCGCAACGAGCGCAACCCCUAUCCUUGUUUGCCAGCGCGUCAUGGCGGGAACUCCAGGGAGACUGCCGGUGAUAAACCGGGAGGAAGGUGGGGACGACGUCAAGUCAUCAUGGCCCUUAUGGGCCUGGGGCUACACACGUGCUACAAUGGGUCGGUACAGAGGGUUGCCAAGCCGCAAGGGUGGGAGCUAAUCCC
rnacentral:rRNA from 1 species